CCUACGGGGGGCAGCAGUAGGGAAUAUUGCUCAAUGGGGGAAACCCUGAAGCAGCAACGCCGCGUGGAGGAUGAAGGUUUUCGGAUUGUAAACUUCUAUCAAUAGGGACGAAAAGAAUGACGGUACCUAAAUAAGAAGCCCCGGCUAACUACGUGCCAGCAGCCGCGGUAAUACGUAGGGGGCAAGCGUUAUCCGGAAUUACUGGGUGUAAAGGGAGCGUAGGCGGCAUGGUAAGCCAGAUGUGAAAGCCCGCGGCUUAACCGCGCGGAUUGCAUUUGGAACUAUCAAGCUAGAGUACAGGAGAGGUAAGUGGAAUUCCUAGUGUAGCGGUGAAAUGCGUAGAUAUUAGGAGGAACACCAGUGGCGAAGGCGGCUUACUGGACUGUAACUGACGUUGAGGCUCGAAAGCGUGGGGAGCAAACAGGAUUAGAUACCCUUGUAGUC
rnacentral:rRNA from 1 species